rfam:Ovis aries breed Texel chromosome 1, whole genome shotgun sequence.
UCCCUUGUGGCUCAGCUGGUAAAGAAUCUGCCUGCAAAGCAGGAGACCUGGGUUCAAUCCCUGGGUUGGGAA